AAAGUCUUUGUGUAGUUUUAAGCUAUUAA
rnacentral:miRNA from 1 species